rnacentral:rRNA from 2 species
GGCAACAUAUGAGGCGGGCUGGACCUCUCGGGGUUACAGCCUUGCUGAAUUAUUCACCCUUGUCUUUUGCGUACUUCUUGUUUCCUUGGUGGGUUCGCCCACCACUAGGACAAACAUAAACCUUUUGUAAUUGCAAUCAGCGUCAGUAACAAAUUAAUAAUUACAACUUUCAACAACGGAUCUCUUGGUUCUGGCAUCGAUGAAGAACGCAGCGAAAUGCGAUAAGUAGUGUGAAUUGCAGAAUUCAGUGAAUCAUCGAAUCUUUGAACGCACAUUGCGCCCUUUGGUAUUCCAAAGGGCAUGCCUGUUCGAGCGUCAUUUGUACCCUCAAGCUUUGCUUGGUGUUGGGCGUCUUGUCUCUAGCUUUGCUGGAGACUCGCCUUAAAGUAAUUGGCAGCCGGCCUACUGGUUUCGGAGCGCAGCACAAGUCGCACUCUCUAUCAGCAAAGGUCUAGCAUCCAUUAAGCCUUUUUUUCAACUUUUGACCUCGGAUCAGGUAGGGAUACCCGCUGAACUUAAGCAUAUCAAAAGCCGGGAGGAA